rnacentral:rRNA from 1 species
GACGAACGCUGGCGGCGUGCCUAAUACAUGCAAGUAGAACGCUGAAGGAAGGAGCUUGCUCUUUCUGGAUGAGUUGCGAACGGGUGAGUAACGCGUAGGUAACCUGCCUGGUAGCGGGGGAUAACUAUUGGAAACGAUAGCUAAUACCGCAUAAAAUUGAUUAUUGCAUGAUAGUCAAUUAAAAGGUGCAACUGCACCACUACCAGAUGGACCUGCGUUGUAUUAGCUAGUUGGUGGGGUAACGGCUCACCAAGGCGACGAUACAUAGCCGACCUGAGAGGGUGAUCGGCCACACUGGGACUGAGACACGGCCCAGACUCCUACGGGAGGCAGCAGUAGGGAAUCUUCGGCAAUAGACGGAAGUCUGACCGAGCAACGCCGCGUGAGUGAAGAAGGUUUUCGGAUCGUAAAGCUCUGUUGUAAGAGAAGAACGAGUGUGAGAGUGGAAAGUUCACACUGUGACGGUAUCUUACCAGAAAGGGACGGCUAACUACGUG